ACGCUAGCUACAGGCUUAACACAUGCAAGUCGAGGGGAAACGGCAUUUAGUGCUUGCACUGAAUGGACGUCGACCGGCGCACGGGUGAGUAACGCGUAUCCAACCUACCCAUUACUGUGGGAUAACCUGCCGAAAGGCAGACUAAUACCGCAUAGUCUUCGAUGACGGCAUCAGAUUUGAAGUAAAGAUUUAUCGGUAAUGGAUGGGGAUGCGUCUGAUUAGCUUGUUGGCGGGGUAACGGCCCACCAAGGCGACGAUCAGUAGGGGUUCUGAGAGGAAGGUCCCCCACAUUGGAACUGAGACACGGUCCAAACUCCUACGGGAGGCAGCAGUGAGGAAUAUUGGUCAAUGGGCGCGAGCCUGAACCAGCCAAGUAGCGUGCAGGAUGACGGCCCUAUGGGUUGUAAACUGCUUUUGUAUGGGGAUAAAGUCAAUCACGUGUGAUUGUUUGCAGGUACCAUACGAAUAAGGACCGGCUAAUUCCGUGCCAGCAGCCGCGGUAAUACGGAAGGUCCGGGCGUUAUCCGGAUUUAUUGGGUUUAAAGGGAGCGUAGGCCGGAGAUUAAGUGUGUUGUGAAAUGUAGACGCUCAACGUCUGACUUGCAGCGCAUACUGGUUUCCUUGAGUACGCACAACGUUGGCGGAAUUCGUCGUGUAGCGGUGAAAUGCUUAGAUAUGACGAAGAACUCCGAUUGCGAAGGCAGCUGACGGGAGCGCAACUGACGCUUAAGCUCGAAGGUGCGGGUAUCGAACAGGAUUAGAUACCCUGGUAGUCCGCACAGUAAACGAUGGAUGCCCGCUGUUGGUACCUGGUAUCAGCGGCUAAGCGAAAGCAUUAAGCAUCCCACCUGGGGAGUACGCCGGCAACGGUGAAACUCAAAGGAAUUGACGGGGGCCCGCACAAGCGGAGGAACAUGUGGUUUAA
rnacentral:rRNA from 1 species